rnacentral:rRNA from 1 species
GACGAACGCUGGCGGCGUGCCUAAUACAUGCAAGUUGAGCGCUGAAGGUUGGUACUUGUACCAACUGGAUGAGCAGCGAACGGGUGAGUAACGCGUGGGGAAUCUGCCUUUGAGCGGGGGACAACAUUUGGAAACGAAUGCUAAUACCGCAUAAAAACUUUAAACACAAGUUUUAAGUUUGAAAGAUGCAAUUGCAUCACUCAAAGAUGAUCCCGCGUUGUAUUAGCUAGUUGGUGAGGUAAAGGCUCACCAAGGCGAUGAUACAUAGCCGACCUGAGAGGGUGAUCGGCCACAUUGGGACUGAGACACGGCCCUAACUCCUACGGGAGGCAGCAGUAGGGAAUCUUCGGCAAUGGACGAAAGUCUGACCGAGCAACGCCGCGUGAGUGAAGAAGGUUUUCGGAUCGUAAAACUCUGUUGGUAGAGAAGAACGUUGGUGAGAGUGGAAAGCUCAUCAAGUGACGGUAACUACCCAGAAAGGGACGGCUAACUACGUG